AUUGAACGCUGGCGGCAGGCCUAACACAUGCAAGUCGAGCGGAUGGAGGGAGCUUGCUCCUGGAUUCAGCGGCGGACGGGUGAGUAAUGCCUAGGAAUCUGCCUGGUAGUGGGGGAUAACGUCCGGAAACGGGCGCUAAUACCGCAUACGUCCUGAGGGAGAAAGUGGGGGAUCUUCGGACCUCACGCUAUCAGAUGAGCCUAGGUCGGAUUAGCUAGUUGGUGAGGUAAAGGCCUACCAAGGCGACGAUCCGUAACUGGUCUGAGAGGAUGAUCAGUCACACUGGAACUGAGACACGGUCCAGACUCCUACGGGAGGCAGCAGUGGGGAAUAUUGGACAAUGGGCGAAAGCCUGAUCCAGCCAUGCCGCGUGUGUGAAGAAGGUCUUCGGAUUGUAAAGCACUUUAAGUUGGGAGGAAGGGCAGUAAGUUAAUACCUUGCUGUUUUGACGUUACCAACAGAAUAAGCACCGGCUAACUUCGUG
rnacentral:rRNA from 1 species